CGGCGGCUGGCUGAAAGGCGAAGCGCAGGUCUGCAAAGCCUGUCGAUGUCAGUUCGAGUCUGACGCCGCCGU
rnacentral:tRNA from 1 species